UGCCCUAGUAACGGCGAGUGAAGCGGCAACAGCUCAAAUUUGAAAUCUGGCUCUCGGGCCCGAGUUGUAAUUUGUAGAGGAUACUUUUGAUGCGGUGCCUUCCGAGUUCCCUGGAACGGGACGCCAUAGAGGGUGAGAGCCCCGUCUGGUUGGAUGCCAAAUCUCUGUAAAGUUCCUUCGACGAGUCGAGUAGUUUGGGAAUGCUGCUCUAAAUGGGAGGUAUAUGUCUUCUAAAGCUAAAUACCGGCCAGAGACCGAUAGCGCACAAGUAGAGUGAUCGAAAGAUGAAAAGCACUUUGAAAAGAGAGUUAAAAAGUACGUGAAAUUGUUGAAAGGGAAGCGUUUAUGACCAGACUUGGGCUUGGUUAAUCAUCUGGGGUUCUCCCCAGUGCACUUUUCCAGUCCAGGCCAGCAUCAGUUUUCCCCGGGGGAUAAAGACUUCGGGAAUGUGGCUCUCUUCGGGGAGUGUUAUAGCCCGUUGCGUAAUACCCUGGGGGGGACUGAGGUUCGCGCAUCUGCAAGGAUGCUGGCGUAAUGGUCAUCAACGACCCGUCUUGAAACACGGACCAAGGAGUCGUCUUCGUAUGCGAGUGUUCGGGUGUCAAACCCCUACGCGUAAUGAAAGUGAACGCAGGUGAGAGCUUCGGCGCAUCAUCGACCGAUCCUGAUGUUCUCGGAUGGAUUUGAGUAAGAGCAUACGGGGCCGGACCCGAAAGAAGGUGAACUAUGCCUGUAUAGGGUGAAGCCAGAGGAAACUCUGGUGGAGGCUCGCAGCGGUUCUGACGUGCAAAUCGAUCGUCAAAUA
rnacentral:rRNA from 1 species